ACGAACGCUGGCGGCGUGCUUAACACAUGCAAGUCGAACGGAAAGGCCCUGCUUUUGUGGGGUGCUCGAGUGGCGAACGGGGGAGUAACACGUGAGUAACCUGCCCUUGACUUUGGGAUAACUUCAGGAAACUGGGGCUAAUACCGGAUAGGAGCUCCUGCUGCAUGGUGGGGGGUGGAAAGUUUCGGCGGGUGGGGAUGGACUCGCGGCUUAUCAGCUUGUUGGUGGGGUAGUGGCUUACCAAGGCUUUGACGGGUAGCCGGCCUGAGAGGGUGACCGGCCACAUUGGGACUGAGAUACGGCCCAGACUCCUACGGGAGGCAGCAGUGGGGAAUAUUGCACAAUGGGCGGAAGCCUGAUGCAGCAACGCCGCGUGCGGGAUGACGGCCUUCGGGUUGUAAACCGCUUUCGCCUGUGACGAAGCGUGAGUGACGGUAAUGGGUAAAGAAGCACCGGCUAACUACGUG
rnacentral:rRNA from 1 species